rnacentral:tRNA from 1 species
CCUUCGAUAGCUCAGUUGGUAGAGCGGAGGACUGUAGAUCCUUAGGUCGCUGGUUCAACUCCGGCUCGGAGGU